rnacentral:lncRNA from 1 species
GGCAGGUAGGUAGGUGGGUAGGUGGUCAAUCGGGCAGGUAGGUGGUCAAUUAGGAAGGUAAGCAGUCAAGCAGGUAGGUGGUCAAGCAGGUAGUUAAGUAGUCAAUCAGGCAGGUAACUAGGCGGGUAGGUGGUCGAUCAGGCGGGUAGGUGGUCGAUCAGGUGGGUAGGUGGUCAGGCAGGUAGGUAAGUAGUCAGUUGGGCAGGCAGGUAGGUGGGUAGGUAGUCAAUCGAGGAGGUAGGUGGUCAAUCGGGUGGGUAGGGAGUCAACCAAGUAGGUAGGUGGCCAAUUGGGCUGGUAGGUAGUCAGCUAGGUAGCUAAGUAGCCAAUCAGGCAGGCAGGUGAUCAAUCAGUUGGGCAGCGAGGUGGUCAGGCAGGGAGGUAAGUGGCCCAUCAGUCGGUCACCGGCUACCUUGGGGCUGCUGUGGUUCCCUGGGGACUUUGUGGUGCCGCGAGGAUCGCUCGCCCCAGCUGGCGGCCCCAGCCUUUGAAGUUUGGUUAAAGUUUAGGAAUCGAUUUUUGGCUUGGAGAGCAGCUGAAGGCAGUCUCGGAAUGGCCGGAGCCCGUUGUGCCUAGCAGGAUUGGAUUCCCUUGGGAAUUAAAACCGAGCCUGAGCUCCUGGCAGCAGCACGGUGAGUCUCAGCUGGAGCUGAGGAGAGGAGGAGGGUCCUGAGGGUCG